rnacentral:rRNA from 1 species
UACGAAGGUCCCAAGCGUUGUUCGGAAUCACUGGGCUUAAAGGGCGCGUAGGCGGGUGGCUAAGUCUGUGGUGAAAUCCUCCAGCUCAACUGGAGAACUGCCAUGGAUACUGGUCGUCUCGAGGAAGGUAGGGGUACGUGGAACUAUCGGUGGAGCGGUGAAAUGCGUUGAUAUCGAUAGGAACUCCGGUGGCGAAGGCGACGUACUGGACCUUUUCUGACGCUGAGGCGCGAAAGCCAGGGGAGCAAACGGG